CGGACGGGUGAGUAACACGUGGAUAACCUACCUAUAAGACUGGGAUAACUUCGGGAAACCGGAGCUAAUACCGGAUAAUAUAUUGAACCGCAUGGUUCAAUAGUGAAAGACGGUUUUGCUGUCACUUAUAGAUGGAUCCGCGCCGCAUUAGCUAGUUGGUAAGGUAACGGCUCACCAAGGCAACGAUGCGUAGCCGACCUGAGAGGGUGAUCGGCCACACUGGAACUGAGACACGGUCCAG
rnacentral:rRNA from 1 species